rnacentral:lncRNA from 1 species
AGAAAUGCGCUCCACAGGUGCCCUCUUAUUUCACUUAUAUCAGUCGGACGCUCUCAAAAGCGACACGUAACACAGAUUCAGGAGAAACAGCGUUCACCAACACAUGUUCAGUUCAUCGGCAGGUGCUACAACCUUUUUUGGCUUAAUUGAAAUUCUUUUUGUGCUUUCUUCUUCUUCUUCUUCUUGUUUUUUUUUUUAAAAUGCAGCAGCCCGUCGCGCUGUCCAUAUUUCGACCGAUCCGGCGCGAUUCCUUGUUUGCUGUGAACCUGACUUGCUGCAAUGCGAUGUAGGGAGUGUUUGGUUCCUGCCAACGCUUGCCACGCCACAAAAUUCGGCUUUGACGUUUAGCGUGGCAGACUCUGGCUGGAGAGCAAGCAGGCCCGUCAACGUCGCCAGCGACCUCUACGUUUGCCCGUCAAUCUCCGCAGACUGCAGCAACAAGCUUAUCUACUGAGCGAAAGCGAGCACCCCCUCCUGGCUCCCGUUCAUAAGGCACGCCGAGAUCGCCGCCGGCCAUGCUUCGACGACGAUGACAGUGGGAGAAGAUGCCAACGGCGCGGUACGCAGGUAACCAUGCGCACGCCGGCAAACCCGGUGCCACCACUGGCACGGACCAGCUUCAAGAAAGAACAGACGAUGAGACAAUGCACAUCAACCGGCAAGACAGCAACAACCAACAGGCCAAACAGUCUAGCACACCAGAAAUGCGCUCCACAGGUGCCCUCUUAUUUCACUUAUAUCAGUCGGACGCUCUCAAAAGCGACACGUAACACAGAUUCAGGAGAAACAGCGUUCACCAACACAUGUUCAGUUCAUCGGCAGGUGCUACAAGUGCGAACGGCAAACACGCUGAUCAUAGAUGGAUCGGGUGCUCUUAUUUCACAUGUCCAAGGAUGUUCAGACUGGUGUGGUGGUGACAAGGCAGGAGGCGACGCUUUCAGCACUCAAGUCCAGCGACCACUUUCAGCUUCAGCCCUGGAGUCCAAUGAUCCCUGGAAAUGAUAAUACAAUGCAAUGAGAAAUCCAUAUAGUAUAACAAGGAGCAUUUGGUAUUUGUUAUUAUACAGAAAAUGAUGCUUGUUUGGAGGAAGGAAUGGGGCUGGCCAGCUGGGGAAACAGUGAACAUACCACAGGCAAUGCGGCCACCAGCGUUUCCAGUGCUCUUGCUCAGCUCGUGCCCACCUGAACAUACAAACACAAAAACCAACAAUUAUUAAACUCCAUUUAAUGGCACUGGAUAAAACCCACAAACAGAGGCAUCGGUUUGGCAAUCAAAGACAAACAGGCAACACAAUCUGACAAAGUGCACAGACAAGAUGUUUAAAUGAACAAAUGUGCAUAGAUCAGUGACAAGCACCAUACCGCAAGCAAGAUUUCACAAGCAUAAUAUACAAACUUGAAACUCCAGACAAGGUCAAUAGAUCACAGGACAGCCAAAUAGACAACUCAGGUAAGGCACUAUAACCUACUUCCAACUUAUUUGAAGUUCAAAUUCCUUCCUGACAGAGAGAUGCCAAAAGCACUGGGGUUUUCAGGGAAAUCGCAGGACAGUACAAGCAUAGCCAUACCUCAAUUUUUUUUCCUCUGGCGUUUAAUAAUCAGAUAGUUAGGACACUAUUACAUUGUCUUGCUCAUGUCAUCUAUAAAUAGAAAUCUAUACUGAUCUUUCAUAAGUCUAUCUGAACUAAGAACCACUGUGUGCUAAUAGACAGAACCUUAGCUCAAAACAGACUACAACACACAAAAGGCACAAGUGUAAACGAUAAGUAGCAGCAUUACCCUUUCCAAGAUCAUCAGGAUCAGCGUGAACAACAACAGCUCUGCCAAUGAUCGAGUUCGGCCCAGUCAGUGGGAUCUGCCAGGAAAAAAAAUAUCACCGAUGUUAAAGGUAAGUAGAAGGCUAGGGCGACAGGAAUCACAAGGGAAUAUGCUGAAGAAAUGUCUGAUUACCUGGCUGUCGGUAACAUGGAUGUUAGCAACACCUGAAAACAGAGAAAUAAAGUCAGUGACUAAGAAUGGUACAUUCUCUCAUACGUAAGAUGUGAAAUUGUGAAUAGAGUUGCAGACUGCAUCUACAGGAUCAAGAAGUAAUUCAGUUUCCUUAAUGCAAGUAGCCAAGUACCCACUACAUGGGUAUGCAACAGAUGGGAACAAAGAGGAGCAAGAGAUCUUUACCAUCUGCUCCCGCUGUGACAUUUCCGAGAUCUCCAGCAUGGCGGUUGUCAUCUUCUGGUGCUCCAUGCUCCUUGCCCGCAGGAUUGUAAUGCGGUCCUGAAAUAUGAAACAAGUUCACCAAUAAGUAGACAAUUCAACGGUCUAUAACUUGGCACAAAUCCUGAUCACAUGAGCAAAGCCAAAGUAGGAAAGGAAUAAAUACCAGUUGACAUGCAGCCAUUUGUGGUGUCACCAAGUGCAUGCACAUGGAACCCGUGGAGGCCAGGCUUGAGGCCAGAGACACUUCCGGUCACAGUGGUGGGGCCUAAAAAUAGAUCCAACCAUUUAUCAUCAAAAGGCAAGGGCUACAGUUCAACUGAAUGAAACAGAUCAUAGAAUAUGUGAUGACUUGCCAUCUCCCUCUUGGGUGAAGUAGAUGGUGCCCUUGACACCCUCACUGCUACCAAGCACAACAACAGCCUUCACCAUUGUUCAUGUGAUCUGCAAAAAACUCCACAAGUAAAAAGGCAUAUCGGUACAGGUACAAGUAGCCUGAACUAUAAGCAAGCAGUGAGGGAUGUCAGUACAUUUUAGAGGCUACCCCUAAGAUAUAUAGAAUAUGCAUACUCACAUCAUACUAGUGGAGAUUGAAUAUGCUAAAAACAGACAUUAAAUAUGGCUACAUUUGUGGUAUCAAGACAAAUGUAUGGGACAGUUGUCUACUUAGCUUUCAAAACCAUGUAAACCAAGAGGGGGGUCUAUGAUGCACGAUGUUGUAAAUGUCUAUUUCCACUUACUAGAAACCACACAGAUCAGCACAUUCAUUCAAGACAACCAAGAGUUUUUCUGGGAAGAUGGAACAUUUUGGGGUAAAAUGCCUGACUUGUUACAUAUAUAAAAAAACCAACUCUACAAGAAUCACACCUUGCACCAAUGGGUGCAAGUAGUACACACGACAUCAGAUUUUCAGAACAGAAUUUUAAAAAAUAAUUGUGAAGGUAGAGGUGGUUUUGGCUGGUCACCAUGCUAGUCAAUCAUCCCCAAUAUACUGGCCUCCACCCUCGUAUCAACUGACAAAUCAUAGCAGCAUAGAACUAUCUAAAUUUUUGUGACUACUAUAAGCAUACUCCAAGGAAUUUUUUUUUUAAAAAAGAGUACUCCGAGUAGCUAAUGCUACAACGGACUGAAGCCAUGGUGCCAUGACAUCUAAACUUCAAUGGAAGUUUAUUGCAUGAUUCAGACCCACUUUUAACCUCGGUGCAAAUUAUGAUGCCAAAAAAAUUUUAGAAUUGCUCCACCAUGUUCUUGAACCCUAUGGCAUCUAUUUAGAAUCAAGCCUGUCAGGGGUAAAACUGAAGGCUUGUUGAUGAUCCGUUCAUCCAACUAGAACAGGCAAAAAAAAAAAAAUCUACAACCAACACUUCCAUAACAGUCGCAUCAAUCGCAUAAACUACCUUUCCAUGUAUGUAGUCUACACAUGUGCACAGUCCCCAAAGGCCCAAAGCAAUAACAGCGUUGUGCCAGCACACGAACUGAAUAUGUGAUACUAAAUCCUUCCCUUAACAGCAUGAGCUCGUGAUCAUUCAUCGCAGGACAAACAACAAGCUCCAACCUGGGAACUAACAUAACACAUAUCUAUCGCUCAAAGCGCUUAGUCCUGUGAACAAAUUGCCAAAGAAAUGGACCAAAUCAAGCCCCACGGGUGACACCUAGAUGGAAUAGAUCACUCGCACAAAGAUCGACCGAUAGCAUGUAAGAUCUGUCUCGACGAUCCAUCGGAAGCUAACGGAAGCGGAAAGGGGGAAACCCCAAAUCGAAAGAGGAACCGCACCAACGAUCUGAGAUCCGACCGCGACUGCUUCCACGGAAUCGGAGACCGGAGUAGAUUACGCGGAGCAACAGCACAGUGAGGCGAUCGAAACCCCCAAAAUCGUGGGGUUUUGGUCAAGCAGCAUACCUCAGGCGACCCCCGCGGCGAGGAAGGAAGGGAUGGGAAGGCGACGGCUUGGAGUCUUGCGCUUCUGGAAGGUUCCCGGGCGGGGCGGGGUUGCUGGACCGGGGGGUAGUUGGAUGCUGGGGUGAGGAGGAGGAUGGGCGCGUGUGCUGGAUUUGUAGGCGCAGCCGGACCGAGGAGUCAAGUUGCGUUGCUAUUCCGCAACUGUCAGCUGCCAAUAAGAUACUAUUAGUGAUAAUUAAUCUUUUUUGCCACUAGCCUCACCUAUAAAUUGCUGUGAAUUUUACAGGAGCGGUAUAAACCUUUUGGUUAUGUAAAACUACAUUCUUUGUUUUUUUAUCAGCUUCUGUACUUGUAAUUUCAAAGCUAUAAAUGGUAUUUACUCUUUCCUAGCGAAUAUAAAUUGCACUUGUUCACGAAUACAACGGAUAGAAUACAUCUCGUCAAGUGCUAUAAAAUUAAACAUCUUGAAUGUGAGCUAUAUAGUUCGACUAGUAGUUAGUUAAAUUUUGCAAAGUAAAAAUUUCAAAUUAAAGUAAACUUCAAGAGUAAGAUGGCAUGUGACUUGUUUGUGUUUAAUCGGAUGCAUGUUAACGACAUUAUUUCUGGAGAAGAAGAUGGAGAAAUAGUCUUUCGAGGAAUUGUUUGGAUACUGGAGCAGGGGACUGAAGUUUCACAGUAGUUUUUGUUUUUUGGUUGCCUGGUUGGUAGGUUUUACGAUUGGGCUCCUAGGGGAAUGGAAACUACAAGUGAGGGCCACGGUAACGGGCCUACAUGCAGUGGGCCUUCCCGCACUGAGAAGCAGACCCGGCCUUCGUUUUCAGGCCCAUGGAAUAGAAUCAGCCCAGUCGCGCGCCAGCAGUUUUUAUUUUCUUUUUUUUUCUUCACCAAACAACUCCGUCGAAACCACCCUCGUAGGCACAUACGAGUACCUGUGCUAUAAUAAUGUAAAUUAUUGGAAUAAUUCGUGUAUAUAAUAUAACAUGAUGAUUAUGUAUUUCCCUCCAUCUUAUUUUGGUGUUUCGAAGUUAUGUAUUGAGAUGGAGUAUACAUUAUGCCUAAAAAUGGUAAAACGAUGUAGAAUUUGAGGUGGGACGGAGCAAGUACAAGUUUCCCUCAACCUCUACGUGUCAUGUGAUCGUGGAAUGUGAUUGUGGAAUUUUGUAGAAACACAUGCUCCUUUGAGCUCAGAUCGCUCGUUGCCUUCCGUAGUUCCGUGCCCGAACUGCAAAGGAGCCGCCCUCGUAGCUCCAUCGAAUUCCUUGGGAUGCUCGAGGGCCAUACUGAUCCACAGACCACACCAUCUAUCAUCCCCACAUCUCCAAAUAGUAGCUCCUCUACCAAUGUGCUCCUUUUUAUCCACAUAUGAUGCAAGCAAAGCAGUGUAGCGGCAUGUAUGCAUUUAGGAGCUGUACAUCACAAAUGUGUUUAAUUUGGAAGGUAGAAUUUUAUUUGCCCCUGCAUUGCGUUGUAUCGUGGGCACAUAGAAAGUAAAUUAAAGUUGCUUUGUGUAGAAAUAGAACAGUGGAUCGGUUGCAUCAUUGAUCACAGCGACACAGCAAUGGAAUUAAAGUGAGGAGUGGAAGGAGUCAGGGGUGGAAAUAACUUUUCGCAUUAGUCUCAAUGCUAGCAUAUCAAUAUAAGGAUGAGUUUGAUCCAGAAACAAAAGUUAAGUGAUUAGAUUGACCAACCUAAAUUUAGAGACGAACUUGACCAUUAUUUUAAAUUGAGGGCAGUGGCUACUUAGCUAUGCCUGCAGAUAUGAUAUGAUCUGAAUAUCUGAAUGCACACGUCUAUCCAUCCAGUCGCCGAAACUGCAGUGUCGUCACGGGUCAGCAGCAAAACAGAUACCAGGAUUUGCAAGACCAGCGCGGGAUGACAGAUGAUUGGCCUCUUCCUUUUUCCGUCCUGCGUUCUCACCGGACCGUUGCUGCUAGUAGUUGACUAGUUGCCGCAUCUCUCCUGUUCCUUUUUUUUCACGGCCAAGUAUAAAUUAUAGGUGCUAGAUAAGGACAUGAGGCACAUAAUAUUUAGUACAUUAGUUAUGAAUUUGACGAGUUUAAGAGCAUGUUUCGGUCCAUGUAGUUAGAGUUAUUCGGUGCCGGGUCCAGAACUUAGAGGAUGAGGUUCAUUUUUCCUUUUUUUUUCCUUCUUCCUCCUUUCUCUUAUUCCCCUCCCUUUCUUCCUCCUCCUCUCCAUCCAUAACUGAGGGAGGGGAGGGGUGAUCUAGGCCUGGUUUGGUUCCUCCUACUUAUUUUUAGCACCCGUCACAUCGAAUGUUUAGAUACUAACNNNNNNNNNNNNNNNNNNNNNNNNNNNNNNNNNNNNNNNNNNNNNNNNNNNNNNNNNNNNNNNNNNNNNNNNNNNNNNNNNNNNNNNNNNNNNNNNNNNNGUUUAAAUACUCCUAAUUAGUAUCUAAACAUUCGAUGUGACACGUGCUAAAAAUAAGCAAAGGGAACCAAAUGCCCUGAAUUAGAUAGGUUUAACUACCUUCCAACUAACAACUAUCCAGCUAGCUACCUUCAUAAAGCUAAAGUCCCAUAUUUGGAUCCACGGGGCAAACUUUAGUCUGCUAGAAUCAACCAUUGGUGAUCCAAAUAGGGAGGACUAAAAAUUAACCAUUCUUAAGUUUACUCUAACCCCAACUAAUAAGAGCUAAUUUUAAACAUAAAUGGCAAAAAGAAAACAGAAUACCCUCCCAUAAAAAAUCUUAUCAUUUUUUUCUCCCUUACCCCUCAAGGAUAUAAUGGCCCUUUCACCAGGCGUGCUGAAUUUUCAUGGGAAUCAACUGGGAUACCUCCCUAGAAUCUGGGCAGAUGAUCCUCAAUGCCAUACAAGAUUUUGGUAAGAUCAUUUUCAGGGAAAUUGUUAUCGUAGCUUCCUGGACAAUUUGGUGUCACAGAAACAAUAUAAUCUUUGAUGGUGCUUCUCUCUCAUUGGCAGCCUGGAGAAGCUUUUUGGAGAAGGAAAUGAAGCUGGCCACUUUAAAGUUAAACCAGCCACUUGAGAUAGGAUCAUUAUUUGGUUGAGUAGUCUUUAAAUUCCCUCCUUUUUUCAAUUUUUAGGCUUAAUGCCUAUGUAACUCUCUUGUACAUAAACUCGUUUUAUAUAAAAAAGAGGUAGGGACUCCCUGCUGAUUCGCUUAAAAAAAGAUAUAAUGACCUUAGAUCAAUGAAUGAACUAAAAAUUAGCUCUGAUUUCAAACAUGAUAGACCAAUUUUAGCCAGCUAAAAUUUAGACAUCUAAACUUUAUUCAGAAUUAAUAGUGACGGGUCCAUAGACCUGGGUCCCUAAUGGGCCCACUUUUCCACAACGCUCGGCCCAACAGGCGGCGCAGCAACAAUGUGCGCCUGGGUCAGCCCAGAUACGUGACACCAGUCCGUGACUAUGAUCUGGCCACCGACCGGCACCCCCGACUAGGAGGCCUGGUCGGGGCUAGGACUACAACCCGACUCCGGCAAAGUUCCCUCAACUGGCGAUGUGCCCUUGGUCGGACCGGCGCACAUCGAUCCCUCCCGACCGACACGGUCAGGACCGAUCGGGGACGCCCGCUCGGUAUGGGCCUGGGGAGCAGGUGGAACGAAUAAAGGAAGAUGCUCAGGUCAACAGCCGUACAGAGGACUGUAGCUUGCCACGCCCUGCACACGCAAUGCACAGUGCCGCCCCGCCAUGCUAGGCGGACACUAUGAUACCUAUCCGUCACGACGGAGUGACGAGAUGAGAUGAACAGGGAUGGAGGGCGAUGGCCAUCCCGUACCCGACGACGUGGGUACUGACAAGAUUAGGCAGCGCCCAUGCACCUUUUCUCUCUCUCUCUCUCUCUAACUUGUAAGGCCGUCCCCUUGAACUAUAAAGGGGGCGCUCUCUCUCUAUCACAGGACUCUCUGGCUCAUACGCACUCGAACACUCUCUCCAACACUUAGCGCACAUUCGAGCUCCCAUCACUCUCCUCCACUUGGACCAAAUAAUGACUGGGCCGUGAACACCCCCUUCUCCACUCCUCGCUCAUUUGUACCCCCACUGCAAACUUUGAGCACCUGAGCUCAGGAAUACAAUUGACCGAUUGACCCCUGAUUGGACGUAGGGCCCGUUGCCCGAACCAGUAUAAAUCCUGAGUCAUUGUGUGCUUGGCCAUAUCCGAUCUAACGCGUGGCAAACUACGUACAUUCACCUGUCGGCCAUAUUCCGCACCAACAGUUUGGCGCCAUAUGUGGGAACCCGCCUUGCGUUCGCGUCUUCGGUCAUCAGAUGGCUCACCUUCCCGCCAUUCUCAGCAUGGCGAGCUCGAGUGAUACGAUUCUCUUGGGCUCGCUGGAGUUCCCCACGCCCCCGCUUGGUGUAACGCCCGCAGAAAUCACCAACUAAAACCACCCGUUAAAAACUGCCUUUAAAAUCUUUUUACCGCUGAGCUCCCGGAAAUCGGAAACCUCCCCGGCGAUUUCGCCGUCCCGGUACCCAUGCCGACCCCCACCUGCCUUUUUAUCCGUGCCCGUAAAUCUCGCCGCAUGCCGUAUCAGACGCCGCGCGCGUGCUCCGACCGCGUGCCGCGAUCGCCACCGGUCCCUCUCUUUUUCUUUCUCUUUUCCCCUCCCCUUUUUCCUUUUCUUUUUCCUUCCUCCUUCUUCCUCUUUCUUCUUUCUUCCUUCUUCCUUCUUCUCUCUCCUUCUCUUCCUUCUUCCUGGCGCCACCCGUCCGGCCCCAGCUCCUUAACUCCCCGGCGCUACUAGCGCCACUCCGCCCGGCCUCGCGCGCCAGGGGCACGCCGCCCGGCCUCGCACGCCAGGGGCCUGCCGCCCGGCUAGCGCCACCACGCCGCCCCCUCGGGCCGUGCGCCCGACCCGGCCCCGGGUCGCCUGCGCCGCCGCUCUGGCGUCCGGCCACCCCGGCCCCGCGCGCCAUCCCUUCCACGCCGGCCUUUUCGGCCCCGCGCCACACCUCCCGCUGCCGGCCCCUACCCCCCAUCUCUCGCUCGGCACGGCACCGGUGCCGUGCCGGCCAUCGCCGGCCGCCGCCCGGACCCCCACCUCCCGCAUGCCUUGGACCCGCCCUCGCCGGCCUAUAAAAAGGGGGCGAACGCCCCGGCCACCACCACCACAACCCACUGCAUUCCCCUCCCCGUCACCAGCACAACCGCCGCCGCCGCCGCAUCCUUGCCGCCGCCGCCGCAUUCCUGCCGCCGCCACCUCCCGCACGGGCGCCGGUGCCCCGCCCCCCUCCUCCGACGACACCGCCCGAGGUGAGGCAAAAUAGGGCCUCCACCCCAUCCUCCGCCGCCCCGGCCCUCGGCCGUCGCCGGCGCAGCCCGGCCGGCCGGCCGCCGCCGCACACCCCCAUUCCUCACCUUCUCUCUUUCUUCCUGGAAGAAGAAAGGGAAGAUUUCCCAAAAUUUUGAUCUAACCCUCACUUCCUCCUAAAUUACGAGCAGGUCCUCCCACCACUCUCAUAAAGCUAUUCGCGGAUAAGCCCCUCCACCUCCAAAAUUAUUUACAAAUAGGUCCCUGGUUACUAUAAAUCAGCCCUUAAGCCUCCAUUUAAGCCCCUAAUCCAUGUUUAACCCGUCAUUUCAUGCGCCAAACUCCCUCCAAUUAAUCCCAAAUUUUACCACGUCAUCCUCCAGAAUACUUUCGCCGAUCUAUAUCCAAAUUUCCCAAAAAUAAUCCUUCUACCUAUUUUCCGUUCACAUUUUCUGUUCGGAGCUCACGGUUAAAAAUCGUUUCCUCUUUUAUUUAUUUGUGUGUCUGUUUGUGUGUGCCGUAGAUCGCGGGUUGACCGAGGAGGAGCCCGAGGAAGAGUUUGACCGCGAGCCCGAGCCCGAGGACCAGUACCGCGAGCCGGAACUCCCGGAAGGCUUUGAAGACGGCAAGUCCAAUCUCACCCUUUGAUGCAUACUUAAUACCUAGUUUUUUUCAAGCACAACCUAUUGGCCUGUUUUACAAAAUGCAUAUUAUUUUAUCGCAAGACAUGGUUGGAUAGCCACCCCUUGAUUGCUAUGAACCUUCCUUGUUGUCCUAUGCUUAUCUCUAAAUAUGACUCGCUCUGUUUAGAUGAUAGCCACUGCUAGAACGCUUAGGAAUUUGUUACUCAACUGCAACCAUUAUUACAAUAGCGUAUUCGGAAAAUAAAUGUGUGUGUGUGUCCAAGUAAGAGAAAUGGCUUUUGGGUUCGGGAAAAGAGGAUGUGUAGACGGGAUGGAUGGGUGUUCCUUGUGUGGAAUGCCCUGUUGUUGUGCUCGUACCUUGGUGGUUGAGCAAUGUCGGGAGAUAUCCAUCUUGUCAUGAUUAAGGACCGAGUUGAUGUGUCAUCUUGCCUAAUUCCCCUAUCGUGCAACCACUCGACCGUUGUAUGGGCAACGGCUUAGCAUAAAUCCCACUAGCUGGAUGGUUAGUCCUCAGGGGUGCUGGUGAGCAACAGAGCCCAUGAAAAAGGAGUAAGAUCUCCAAGACUUAGGUCCCGGUUACGGUCUCAUGGAUGAGCCGUGAACCCCUUGGUGCUUCCGCGGGAGCUAGCCCAUCUUAGCUAAGGUGGGUAAUGGCUUAGUUAGGAUCCGUACCGUCACCAAGGUGAUCGUGCUACGGUACCCUACUUGUGGGAAAAGUGUACACCCUCUGCAGAGUUAAAACCUAUCCGGGUAGCCGUGUCCACGGCAUUGGACGAGUUACGGCUUGGUCACAUAACUAGCAAUUGGGCAAGGUUGUCAUGUGUGUGUGUGGGGGGGGGGGAUUUUGGAAGAGUCCGGCAGUUGUGCCGUGCGCUAUGACGGACGGGGAGUCCGAUAGCGAUAAAAACUUGGAUCCUUGUGUAGGAUCAACCCCACUCAAUGUUCUGGGUAUUAAAGGAAAACUUUACGAAAACCCCUUUUGGAACAACCCCCUGCAUGUGUUAAAAUCUAGCUUUUUCGCAAAUAAACCCUAGCCUAUCCCUGUUAUACUUGUGCAUAAACAUGCUUGUAUCCCCUUCGUGGAUGGGGUUGGACAUGUUGAGUACGUUAGUACUCACCCUUGCUUCAUUGCUACAGAGGAGGACCCCGACUUCUUCGCCCAUGGACCCUGAAUAGAGGUUGUGUCCGCACCCUACGCUCCCUGUGGUGUUGGCCUGCCCAAGAUGCUGCUGCUGCCGUGUAGUCCCGAGUGCUGUCUUUUGGCAGUCGCUUGGUUAGCCGCCGUUAUUUAUUUACUCUUUAUCGCUGCGUGGCUUUCACGCACACUCCCUCGGGAGUUGUACGGUAACUGAAUUAUCUGUCGAAUAAAUGUGUUAUCAGCCUCCUGGGACUGAUAUUUGUAUCACAUUUAGUCUCUACUUAUGUGGGGACGCUUCACUUGGCGGAUCCUCAUGCGGAGGCCCUGGCGUGUGCACAGCCGCAUGGUGACGAGUUGCGACAGCGGAGGCUGAGCUGGCAGCCACCUGCGUCGGCGUGCCCCACGCAGCGCUUUGAGCCGCGCGCGCGCAACCCGACGGGCAGCGCUCGAGGCCACGCCUGCCAG